UGGUAUCUGCAAGCAGUGCGUUCGCUUUCUCAAUGCAGUCUGUUCGGUUUAAGAUGACUGUCAAGCGUCCUUUGUCUGCAGAACACGUGGAAUUGAACAAAAUGGUCGAACUUCUACAGCAGGUACAGAAAAAAAUGACAAGGACUGGCCUUGAAAAAAGUUAACUGGAAAACAUGAGAAUCAAACUUCCAGUGCCGAUGGUGAUACAAUAGGUUGUAAAGUUAUACAGGAGUUUCUCUGGGCCUCAUCCACACUGUCAUGUGAAUGUACAGACAAUGUCAAGCAAUGAAAGAUAGUCAUGAAUCAGUCACUUCAGGUGACUAAAACACCACAUGCCACAUCUCGGAGGUAGUAAAAUGAAGGAGUAUAUCUCCUGACCAGAUUUUCUGUUGCUGAUAUUUUCAGACAAUCUGUCCGAAAAUCAACCAAACUAUCCCAGAGGUCCAAAAGAACUUUAAUUGCAACAUAUGAUUCAUGCAAAGUGAAUUUCGGUAACAUUUUGUAAUUACUGUUACAAUAAAUACCAUGUUUGAAGUUGGCCCAA